AUUUUUUGGGUUUUUUUUUUGUUUUUUCACCGGGUUUUUUGGGUUUUUUGUGGUUUUUUGUACUUUUUGGGAUUUCUCACCCCCUUUUUCCCCCAACCCGGAGUCCUGGUGAUCUCCUGCCCCCAGCCCCGCCUCUCUGGGUUUUUUGGGAUUUUUUUUUUUAUUUUUGGGAUUUUUUUUGGGAUUUUUUGGGUUUUUUUUUUGUUUUUUCACCGGGUUUUUUGGGUUUUUUGUGGUUUUUUGUACUUUUUGGGAUUUCUCACCCCCUUUUUCCCCCAACCCGGAGUCCUGGUGAUCUCCUGCCCCCAGCCCCGCCUCUCUGGGUUUUUUGGGAUUUUUUUUUUUAUUUUUGGGAUUUUUUUUGGGAUUUUUUGGGUUUUUUUUUUGUUUUUUCACCGGGUUUUUUGGGUUUUUUGUGGUUUUUUGUACUUUUUGGGAUUUCUCACCCCCUUUUUCCCCCAACCCGGAGUCCUGGUGAUCUCCUGCCCCCAGCCCCGCCUCUCUGGGUUUUUUGGGAUUUUUUUUUUUAUUUUUGGGAUUUUUUUUGGGAUUUUUUGGGUUUUUUUUUUGUUUUUUCACCGGGUUUUUUGGGUUUUUUGUGGUUUUUUGUACUUUUUGGGAUUUCUCACCCCCUUUUUCCCCCAACCCGGAGUCCUGGUGAUCUCCUGCCCCCAGCCCCGCCUCUCUGGGUUUUUUGGGAUUUUUUUUUUUAUUUUUGGGAUUUUUUUUGGGAUUUUUUGGGUUUUUUUUUUGUUUUUUCACCGGGUUUUUUGGGUUUUUUGUGGUUUUUUGUACUUUUUGGGAUUUCUCACCCCCUUUUUCCCCCAACCCGGAGUCCUGGUGAUCUCCUGCCCCCAGCCCCGCCUCUCUGGGUUUUUUGGGAUUUUUUUUUUUAUUUUUGGGAUUUUUUUUGGGAUUUUUUGGGUUUUUUUUUUGUUUUUUCACCGGGUUUUUUGGGUUUUUUGUGGUUUUUUGUACUUUUUGGGAUUUCUCACCCCCUUUUUCCCCCAACCCGGAGUCCUGGUGAUCUCCUGCCCCCAGCCCCGCCUCUCUGGGUUUUUUGGGAUUUUUUUUUUUAUUUUUGGGAUUUUUUUUGGGAUUUUUUGGGUUUUUUUUUUGUUUUUUCACCGGGUUUUUUGGGUUUUUUGUGGUUUUUUGUACUUUUUGGGAUUUCUCACCCCCUUUUUCCCCCAACCCGGAGUCCUGGUGAUCUCCUGCCCCCAGCCCCGCCUCUCUGGGUUUUUUGGGAUUUUUUUUUUUAUUUUUGGGAUUUUUUUUGGGAUUUUUUGGGUUUUUUUUUUGUUUUUUCACCGGGUUUUUUGGGUUUUUUGUGGUUUUUUGUACUUUUUGGGAUUUCUCACCCCCUUUUUCCCCCAACCCGGAGUCCUGGUGAUCUCCUGCCCCCAGCCCCGCCUCUCUGGGUUUUUUGGGAUUUUUUUUUUUAUUUUUGGGAUUUUUUUUGGGAUUUUUUGGGUUUUUUUUUUGUUUUUUCACCGGGUUUUUUGGGUUUUUUGUGGUUUUUUGUACUUUUUGGGAUUUCUCACCCCCUUUUUCCCCCAACCCGGAGUCCUGGUGAUCUCCUGCCCCCAGCCCCGCCUCUCUGGGUUUUUUGGGAUUUUUUUUUUUAUUUUUGGGAUUUUUUUUGGGAUUUUUUGGGUUUUUUUUUUGUUUUUUCACCGGGUUUUUUGGGUUUUUUGUGGUUUUUUGUACUUUUUGGGAUUUCUCACCCCCUUUUUCCCCCAACCCGGAGUCCUGGUGAUCUCCUGCCCCCAGCCCCGCCUCUCUGGGUUUUUUGGGAUUUUUUUUUUUAUUUUUGGGAUUUUUUUUGGGAUUUUUUGGGUUUUUUUUUUGUUUUUUCACCGGGUUUUUUGGGUUUUUUGUGGUUUUUUGUACUUUUUGGGAUUUCUCACCCCCUUUUUCCCCCAACCCGGAGUCCUGGUGAUCUCCUGCCCCCAGCCCCGCCUCUCUGGGUUUUUUGGGAUUUUUUUUUUUAUUUUUGGGAUUUUUUUUGGGAUUUUUUGGGUUUUUUUUUUGUUUUUUCACCGGGUUUUUUGGGUUUUUUGUGGUUUUUUGUACUUUUUGGGAUUUCUCACCCCCUUUUUCCCCCAACCCGGAGUCCUGGUGAUCUCCUGCCCCCAGCCCCGCCUCUCUGGGUUUUUUGGGAUUUUUUUUUUUAUUUUUGGGAUUUUUUUUGGGAUUUUUUGGGUUUUUUUUUUGUUUUUUCACCGGGUUUUUUGGGUUUUUUGUGGUUUUUUGUACUUUUUGGGAUUUCUCACCCCCUUUUUCCCCCAACCCGGAGUCCUGGUGAUCUCCUGCCCCCAGCCCCGCCUCUCUGGGUUUUUUGGGAUUUUUUUUUUUAUUUUUGGGAUUUUUUUUGGGAUUUUUUGGGUUUUUUUUUUGUUUUUUCACCGGGUUUUUUGGGUUUUUUGUGGUUUUUUGUACUUUUUGGGAUUUCUCACCCCCUUUUUCCCCCAACCCGGAGUCCUGGUGAUCUCCUGCCCCCAGCCCCGCCUCUCUGGGUUUUUUGGGAUUUUUUUUUUUAUUUUUGGGAUUUUUUUUGGGAUUUUUUGGGUUUUUUUUUUGUUUUUUCACCGGGUUUUUUGGGUUUUUUGUGGUUUUUUGUACUUUUUGGGAUUUCUCACCCCCUUUUUCCCCCAACCCGGAGUCCUGGUGAUCUCCUGCCCCCAGCCCCGCCUCUCUGGGUUUUUUGGGAUUUUUUUUUUUAUUUUUGGGAUUUUUUUUGGGAUUUUUUGGGUUUUUUUUUUGUUUUUUCACCGGGUUUUUUGGGUUUUUUGUGGUUUUUUGUACUUUUUGGGAUUUCUCACCCCCUUUUUCCCCCAACCCGGAGUCCUGGUGAUCUCCUGCCCCCAGCCCCGCCUCUCUGGGUUUUUUGGGAUUUUUUUUUUUAUUUUUGGGAUUUUUUUUGGGAUUUUUUGGGUUUUUUUUUUGUUUUUUCACCGGGUUUUUUGGGUUUUUUGUGGUUUUUUGUACUUUUUGGGAUUUCUCACCCCCUUUUUCCCCCAACCCGGAGUCCUGGUGAUCUCCUGCCCCCAGCCCCGCCUCUCUGGGUUUUUUGGGAUUUUUUUUUUUAUUUUUGGGAUUUUUUUUGGGAUUUUUUGGGUUUUUUUUUUGUUUUUUCACCGGGUUUUUUGGGUUUUUUGUGGUUUUUUGUACUUUUUGGGAUUUCUCACCCCCUUUUUCCCCCAACCCGGAGUCCUGGUGAUCUCCUGAACCCCCUCAGGAUUCCAUUUCCCUUCCAGGACCCCAUUUCCCCUUCCAGGACCCCAUUAACCCCCUCAGGAUUCCAUUUCCCUUCCAGGACCCCAUUUCCCCCUCAGGCCCCCCUUUCCCUUAUUUGCCCCCUCAGGACCCCAUUUCCCCUUCCAGGACCCCAUUUGCCCCCUCAGGACCCCAUUUCCCCUUCCAGGACCCUAUUUGCCCCCUCAGGACCCCAUUUCCCCUUCCAGGACCCCAUUUGCCCCCUCAGGACCCCAUUUCCCCUUCCAGGACCCUAUUUGCCCCCUCAGGACCCCAUUUCCCCUUCCAGGACCCCAUUUGCCCCCUCAGGAUCCCAUUUCCCCUUCCAGGACCGAUCCCUGUGGCCCCGCCCCCCUUUCCAAUCACCGUUUCCCAUUGGUCAGAGGAAAAGGCGGGAACCGGAAGUUGCCGCUUCUUAUUGGCUGAGGGGAAGGCGCGGGCGCCUUCCCUUCCCGGCGUGCACCGCGCGGGGGAACUGGGAGGGACUGGGGUGGCUGAUGGCUGAGCCCCGCCCGGACCCCGGCAGUAACUCCCAGUGCUCCCAGUAA
ensembl:lncRNA